CCUACGGGUGGCAGCAGUGGGGAAUAUUGGGCAAUGGGCGCAAGCCUGACCCAGCAACGCCGCGUGAAGGAAGAAGGCUUUCGGGUUGUAAACUUCUUUUGACAGGGAAGAGCAGAAGACGGUACCUGUCGAAUAAGCCACGGCUAACUACGUGCCAGCAGUCGCGGUAAUACGUAGGUGGCAAGCGUUGUCCGGAUUUACUGGGUGUAAAGGGCGUGUAGCCGGGCGGACAAGUCAGAUGUGAAAACCAUGGGCUCAACCUAGGGCCUGCAUUUGAAACUGUAGUUCUUGAGUGCUGGAGCGGCAGACGGAAUUCCUAGUGUAGCGGUGAAAUGCGUAGAUAUUAGGAGGAACACCAGUGGCGAAGGCGGUCUGCUGGACAGCAACUGACGCUGAGGCGCGAAAGCGUGGGGAGCAAACAGGAUUAGAUACCCUUGUAGUC
rnacentral:rRNA from 1 species